UACGGGAGGCAGCAGUGGGGAAUAUUGGACAAUGGGCGGAAGCCUGAUCCAGCAAUACCGCGUGUGUGAAGAAGGCCUGAGGGUUGUAAAGCACUUUCAAUUGGGAGGAAAACCAGGCAGGUCA
rnacentral:rRNA from 1 species